UUUUUUAAGGAGCAGAACAAAUAUAGAUUUUUGUGUAGCAAGAAUUCUCACUUUCAGCUUUGACAAAGUGAUUUUGGGGUAUGGCUUCACCCUUUGAUCUCCUUACAUGUGUUUGGACCAUCAUUGGCCCAUUCUAUUUCCUGGUUCAAAAGUGGAAGAACGAUGGUUUUUGCCUUCGAGGUUACUAAAAUUCAUACUUUAAUCUUUCAGGGACUGCUAUCUUCCAGUCAUACUCAGAUGUCUGACUGUCAGCUUUAUGUCUUGGAAAGAAUUCCUCGCAAUUCAGGUCACAGGUCUUUCAGGAGUGAUCCCUCUGUCUUAAAGAGUUCCCUCCGCUCUUUGCCUUCCCAAGUUGGUACCUCCGUGCAGGGAAGAUCAUAGGACGGACUCUGGGGAUUAUGGUGUCAGCCUAGCCCACCCUGAGAAAGCAGAGCCUGAGGCCACACUGACGUUUGAUUUGGGAAAUGCAAUCCCAAAGAAGCAGGAGUAGGGGAAGGACAAGUGACACAGAGAAGGAGGGAAAUACAGCACAGAGAAAACUGCCCCGGUGGAGGCCCAGGCCCCGAGCAUCCAGCUGAGUUUGUUCUGCCUCGUCGCAGCUGGUCUUCACGGGGCGGCAGCAGUUCAGUGCCUGGCCUACCUCUCCACAUGCUGCCAGGGUCUCCAGACCACAUAGCUCGGAUACAGCCGGCACCUCGUAACACCCAAGGGAAAUCUUUUCUCUACCCCAGGGAGAGACUGGCCCUACAGAGCCAAGGAGAUUGUCACGUGAUCAUAUGACAUCAGAACCUUCUGAAAUCUGAAGAAAAUCGAUCUCAGAAAGAAUGUGUAGAAUGUCCAUAACUUAGCCCGAUCUCAGUCCACUUUUGCUUUCUUAAAUGUCUCUACGGAGGGUUAAAAAAAAAAUCUUGAGGUCCAGAUUCACCUAAGCACAUUCUAUUAAGUGAUUUUUUUUUUAAGAUGUUGGGGGCAGGAGUUUAUUAAUUAAUGAAUUUAUUUUUGCUGUGUUAGGUCUUCGUUUCUGUGCGAGGGCUUUCUCUAGUUGUGGCAAGCGGGGGCCACUCUUCAUCGCGGUGCGCGGGCCUCUCACUAUCGCGGCCUCUCUUGUUGCAGAGCACGGGCUCCAGACGUGCAGGCUCAGUAUAAGUGAGCACAGGCUCCGGACGCGCAGGCUCAGCGGCCAUGGCUCACGUGCCCAGCCGCUCCGCGGCAUGUAGGAUCCUCCCGGACCGGGGCACGAACCCGUGUUCCCUGCAUCGGCAGGCGGACUCCCAACCACUGCGCCACCAGGGAAGCCCAGGGUCACAGCAGAGGGUUUGCUGCCUCAGUAUGAAACCACUGCCUGGUGUGACAAGCGGAGAGAAGGACAUUGGGUUCCAGUCAUGAUGGCUCACUUGACCCCAGCCCACCUCGUGUGCUUUCAUCAGUCUUUAAUUCUGUCCAUUACACUUGAAAGGAACAGAGAUCAUGGCCAUAAAGAUCCUUAGGAGGAAACAGAGUAAAAUUAUUCAUUUAUUGAACAAAUGUUAAUUAAGCUAUAAUAAAUGUCUGAAUAAAUCAGGGAAGACCUCAAGCCCCUCCGGACCGUCAACUCCACAGAGAUCCCCUCUGCCUUCAUUUCUCCCUGAUCUGCUCCCAGUGCCCAGGAAAGACUGCCUGUCCUACAGGAAAGGCUCCGAUGAAGGGAGCAUGAAGUCGGCGGCACAGACUUUUCUCUGUGUAAAGCCAGUUGGCACCUACAGGGAUUGAAACCUGCCGUCAGCUCAUGAGCACAGCCCUGUGACUAACUGAGCCAACUGGUCAUUCCAGCACUCAUGCUCUACCAGGUGAAGCGGCUCUCUGUGGCCUGAAAAACCGGACCCCGAUUACCUACAAGGGAAGAUCUGUGAGUGACUGCAGUGACCCAAGAUCCAUGGCCGUCCCGGGAGCAGCAGGUACUACUGUCAUCGUUCAUUUGGAGCCAACAAGGAGUGGGUGACAAACCCAAGGGUCUAGCUUCACAUCGACAAAGUCUCUGGGACCAGAAACCCAUUAUCUUGAUACCAUGUAGUUUUCAGAGACAGCAUUUGCAUGUCAGCAAUAAGACCUGGUGUCAGGGCCCCUCCCCAGGUACCUAACUUGUCACCAAGCCUGAUAAGAGGAAGCAUGCUUUUUCCUAGUUUUUAGCACAGUAACCACCCAACAGAAUUGCUAAUGAAGAAAAAAAAAUGCCUUUGCUUGUGGCUUAAUACAUAUUUCCUUUUCUCUCAAAGGCUUGCCCAUUUCAAAUGUAAUCUGUUCUUUGGGGGCACGUUCUCCCUAGAAGAGUCUAGUGGUGAAGAGCCUCAGCUUCAACCAGGAGGACCCUUUUCUAAUUGCAUCAUGUUGAAUAAGUUACUUAAAUUCCCUGAGACCAGAUUUCUUACCAUUAAGUGGAAAUACUAAUAGCCCUACCUGUAAGGUUGUUGGGAAUAUUUAAACAAGAUUAUGUAUACGUGUGUGUGUGUGUGUGUGUGUGUGUGUGUGUAUAAAAUGCUUAGCACAAAACCUAACCUAGUUAAUGCUCAAUACAGUUAAAUAUUACGAUUACUAAAUGAACUAAUAAAUAUACACAUGCCCAGUACAGCUUGGUGGUUAACAAAUGUUAGGAUAAUAUUUGUAAACUGUGGGGCACUAUUCAUAUGUCAGGUCUGAAUAUUAUUAGCACUUGCCUUAGUGAUGAAGCUUUCAGUUCAGUCAUGGUCCAGUAAGAGAUGAGUCAGAAGGAAAAUUAGGGCACACAGCAGAUGGCUUUCCCAAGCAUAUGACCUAUUCAGUCUUGAAAAUCAGCCCAGGCACUGGUCAACUGCAGUCCUUGGGUAUUUUGCAUUUGAAUCGCUAUCAAAUAUUUUCCUCUCUUUCCAUCCUUGCUAAAAGGAAUGACCUUUCUUCUUUAAAACACAGAACACUCCAAGGAAAGCGUUAGAAGGAGAAAGUUCAAAUCUGGCCUUUGACCUUACCCUCCCCUAGAAUCAUUCUCUUUCCUACUGCCUGCAUUGCAAUCUGGUCCAUGGGAAUGCAUUAGAGCUCACACCUGGGUGAAGUCCCCUUUCUUUAGUUUCUCUGAGGAUGUCUAAAAAUGGCUGAGCUGUUUAAGAACUUGACUGCCAGCCGAUGGUUCUUGAACCCAUUGACAAUGAAGCUGUGUGUUUCACAUGACAAAAGACCUUUUGCUUCUCUUUCCUGAUUGUUUUCAUUUGUUGUUUUGGCUCCCUCUUGCUGGACACUGCAGGCAUCCGAUAAUAAGCAGAGCUCUCAACUGACAGGUCUGGGGUGCAGCAAAAUGGGCCAGAGCUGAGGAAAAGGCACUGCUAGGGUGGGCUCGGUAAUUAUGUGGUGUUAGAGCACGCUUUUGAUCCUAUUUGAACAUGUCUAAUUUAAUGAACUCUUGAAACUCUUUUCAAGGAUGCAGAUGAUUUAUGGCAUACUAGAACUCUACUUCAGCAGUUCCUAAAGCAUGGCUUGUGCAUCUCUGGAGGCCCCUGAAACUCUGGGGUUCCCUGAGGCCAAAACAACUGUCGUAAUAAUGCCAGGAUAUUACGGGACCUUUUUUACUGGGUUGACAUUUGCACUAAUGGCACAAAAACAAUAGUGGGCAUAACUCUGUGAAUCAAAAGAGUGGUAUCUAACUGUACUUCUUAUUUGCCAUUGUGUUCUUUAACCUCACACACUGUCAGUAAAAAAAAAGAAAAUAUCAGUUUUACUUAAAAAUGCCCUUAAAGAAGCAGUAAAAAGUAUUCAUUUUAUUAAACCAAAAUUUUUGAGUACAUGGAACACCAUUUUUACUUCAAAGACUAACCGAGGGCUUCCCUGGUGGCGCAGUGGUUGGGAGUCCGCCUGCCGAUGCAGGGGACGCGGGUUCGUGCCCCGGUCCGGGAAGAUCCCACGUGCCGCGGAGUGGCUGGGCCUGUGAGCCAUGGCCGCUGAGCCUGCGCGUCCGGAGCCUGUGCUCCGCAACGGGAGAGGCCGCGACGGUGAGAGGCCCCCGUACCUCAAAAAAAAAAAAAAAAGAAUAACCGACAAACGAUGGUUAUACAGACUCGGACAUCUGGCAGGCAGUUUCUUAAAAAACUGAACGAAAUAAAAUCUAUGGCUUGAAGGAAAAUGACUCACAGUAUUUAUUGCCAGUGGUAAAAUUUGAACUUUCAGAUGAAAAUUAGAAUUGUUGAAAACUUGAAUUCACCACUGUGGGUGUGACAACUUCUUAGUACUUACAGAAUUUUCGGAUGAGAUAGGCGGUGGUAUUAACAAACAUGAGUUUUUGAUAUUGCAUAAUAAAAUCUGUGAACAUUUGGAAAAUUUGCAUAACUCAGUGAAGCAAUACUUUCCAAAUGACCAAAGCAUGAUGUUUAAAGUGGUUUCUGAUCCCACACUGCAGCCAAUCUUUAAGAAACUGCCUUUGGACAGGGAUAAAGACACAGGCAUAGAGAAUGGACUUGAGGACACGAGGAGGGGGAAGGGUAAGCUGGGACGAAGUGAGAGAGCGGCAUGGACAUAUAUACACUACCAAACGUAAAACAGAUAGCUAGUGGGAAGCAGCCGCAUAGCACAGGGAGAUCAGCUUGGUGCUUUGU